CCUGAAUCGAAUGCAAGGGCAUGCGGCGGCUGCUCGAAGCCCCGACGAAUCCCUGAUGGGAGAUGCUGGAAUUGAGUUCUUGCUGGAUGCCGUCGACCUGUCCCCCCUCUCCCUCUGGGAGGAGUUCGCUGACAGUCUUGUGAAUCCAGAUCCGUCCCUCUGGCAUUGUUAACGCCAGAUAAAGACAACCAUGCCGUGCCGGCGGACUCGAAUGCUGCCUCUGGAUGCGGGCAGCAAGUUGGCGGCGCCGUGCGGGAGAGGUCGAACAGCGGCGUCGGGAGGCAUCUCCGACUGCGUCCACGCAGUCAGCUGACAGGGUCAACCCGGAGCCGCCUGGUUGGACGAAAAGGUAUUUCGCGUAAUUCCAUUGCCUGUGUAAUAACUGUAUAUCUCCGAAAAUGAGUGCAUGUUAAGGGGGAGUGGUACGACUAUUUUAGGUUAGAGGAAGGUUGAAGAGAGAAUAGCUAAAAUAGCCAGUCGGGUAGGCAAGUGCGGGUGGCUGUGGUCAAAGUGAAUAUGUCUUGUUUCGGAUCUCCUCAGCCAUGACUAUUUUUAUUUUGGGCGACUGCAACCUGACGAUAUGAUUUGGUUAACUGGACGCUGAUACUUGGUACUGAUGAUUAAUUGUUAAAUGUGCUUAGACGUCAAAUAUGUCCGUAAUUGUUUACUGCAGCUGGAAAAUUAUGUAAAGAAAUGGUUCGCCUAAAAAAAGUCUGGUUACAUCUCAGUAGUGGGCUACCAGACAGGACGCCAGGUCCUUGUAGGAUAAGUGCACUAGAUCAGUCAAUUCGCAAAUAUGGAAAUGUAAUUAGACCAGAACUCAGGCCAAGUUUUGAUUCACUGGGCGGGGCAUAUGGCUUCUACAAAUCCUGGGAGAUCGGAUUCAGAAUUCGGUACGACAAAAGCUUUACUUUAGAUGUUUCCAUCGGUGGCGGAAUCAUUGCAAGUGUGACGGCGGGGUAACUGACAGCACAGCGGUGUCGCCGGAGCAAGAGUAGAGGUUCAGUUCCGGACACUUUGAACUUGGGGUUGCAGCGAGCGCUUGGAGCACGAAUUUGAUGCUGGAGCAAGAAGGCCAUGGCGUGCACGAGGGAGGUGAUUCAGUGUGUGUGUGCCACUGGCGCGCUGGCCGACUUCCAUGGUGUUGACUAUGAUGUGGACAAAUGGAUCUCGCGUGAUCUAUGGUGCCGAAGAGGUUGAUUCCGGUGGAGAAGAGGUGAGCAGCAGGGAAGCGAAACGACGCCGUACACAGGCUUGUUUUGCGACGUGAGCAUAUCAGCAGAGGAAAGAACUGUGUUUCCACUGCUCCCCUUGUCCAUGAUGUUCAACAGAUUGUUGUAUUGUGCCUACAG